AACGAACGCUGGCGGCGUGGAUAAGACAUGCAAGUCGAACGCUGAUUUCAGGGUAGCAAUAUUCUGAAGUCGGAGUGGCGCAAGGGUGCGUAACACGUGGGUAAUCUGCCGUGAAGUUGGGGAUAACUCGCUGAAAGGCGAGCUAAUACCGAAUGUGAUCCUCGGAGGACAUCCUCUGAUGAUCAAAGUUGGGGACCGCAAGGCCUGACGCUCACGAUGAGCCCGCGGCCUAUCAGCUAGUUGGUGAGGUAACGGCUCACCAAGGCUAAGACGGGUAGCUGGUCUGAGAGGACGACCAGCCUCACUGGAACUGAGACACGGUCCAGACACCUACGGGUGGCAGCAGUCGAGAAUUUUUCACAAUGGGCGAAAGCCUGAUGGAGCGACGCCGCGUGGGGGA
rnacentral:rRNA from 1 species